rnacentral:rRNA from 1 species
GACGGAGGGGGCAAGCGUUGUCCGGACUCACUGGGCGUAAAGGGUGCGUAGGCGGCCUUGCGCGUCCGCGCUGAAAUCUGUUGGCUUAACUGACAGGCGCGUGCGGAUACGGCAGGGCUCGAGGCACGGAGAGGGUGGGGGAACUCCUGGUGUAGUGGUGAAAUGCGUAGAGAUCAGGAAGAACACCCGUGGCGCAAGCGCCCACCUGGCCGUGACCUGACGCUGUGGCACGAAAGCGUGGGGAGCGAACCGG